UACGUAGGGGGCAAGCAUUGUCCGGAUUCAUUGGGCGUAAAGAGCGUGUAGGCGGCCAGGUAGGUCGGUUGUGAAAACUGGAGGCUCAACCUUCAGAGGUCGACCGAAACCAUCUGGCUAGAGUCCGGGAGAGGAGAGUGGAAUUCCUGGUGUAGCGGUGAAAUGCGCAGAUAUCAGGAAGAACACCCGUGGCGAAAGCGGCUCUCUGGAACGGUACUGACGCUGAGACGCGAAAGCGUGGGGAGCGAACAGG
rnacentral:rRNA from 1 species